rnacentral:rRNA from 2 species
AUUCUGUAGCAAGGUUAACCGUAUAGGGGAGCCGGAGGGAAACCGAGUCUUAAUUGGGCGUUAAGUUGCAGGGUAUAGACCCGAAACCCGGUGAUCUAGCCAUGGGCAGGUUGAAGGUUGGGUAACACUAACUGGAGGACCGAACCGACUAAUGUUGAAAAAUUAGCGGAUGACCUGUGGCUGGGGGUGAAAGGCCAAUCAAACCGGGAGAUAGCUGGUUCUCCCCGAAAGCUAUUUAGGUAGCGCCUCGUGAAUUCAUCUCCGGGGGUAGAGCACUGUUUCGGCUAGGGGGCCAUCCCGGCUUACCAACCCGAUGCAAACUGCGAAUACCGGAGAAUGUUAUCACGGGAGACACACGGCGGGUGCUAACGUCCGUCGUGAAGAGGGAAACAACCCAGACCGCCAGCUAAGGUCCCAAAGUCAUGGUUAAGUGGGAAACGAUGUGGGAAGGCCCAGACAGCCAGGAUGUUGGCUUAGAAGCAGCCAUCAUUUAAAGAAAGCGUAAUAGCUCACUGGUCGAGUCGGCCUGCGCGGAAGAUGUAACGGGGCUAAACCAU